rnacentral:rRNA from 1 species
GAGUUUGAUCCUGGCUCAGGAUGAACGCUGGCGGCGUGCCUAACACAUGCAAGUCGAACGAAGCACCUUACUUGAUUCUUCGGAUGAAGGUCUGGUGACUGAGUGGCGGACGGGUGAGUAACGCGUGGGUAACCUGCCCUGUACAGGGGGAUAACAGUUGGAAACGGCUGCUAAUACCGCAUAAGCGCACGAGAGGACAUCCUCUUGUGUGAAAAACUCCGGUGGUACAGGAUGGGCCCGCGUCUGAUUAGCUGGUUGGCAGGGUAACGGCCUACCAAGGCGACGAUCAGUAGCCGGUCUGAGAGGAUGAACGGCCACAUUGGAACUGAGACACGGUCCAAACUCCUACGGGAGGCAGCAGUGGGGAAUAUUGCACAAUGGGGGAAACCCUGAUGCAGCAACGCCGCGUGAGUGAAGAAGUAUUUCGGUAUGUAAAGCUCUAUCAGCAGGGAAGAUAAUGACGGUACCUGACUAAGAAGCUCCGGCUAAAUACGUGCCAGCAGCCGCGGUAAUUC